GUGGUUGUGGCUCAGUGGUAGAGCACUUGCCUAGCAUGUGUGAGGCACUGGGUUCAAUUCUCAGCACCACA
rnacentral:tRNA from 1 species